rnacentral:lncRNA from 10 species
GGCAGGGAGCGGAGCUGCGGAGCCGCCUGGUCUCCCGCGUCCAUCGGUCCAUUCCUGCGUCGUUCUGUCCUUCCGAACGCACACUUCAGGAGCAGCCGCGAGGGUGGCAUGGCAGCGAGCACAGACAUGGCUGGGCUGGAGGAGAGCUUCCGCAAGUUUGCCAUCCAUGGUGACCCCAAGGCCAGUGGGCAAGAGAUGAAUGGCAAGAACUGGGCCAAGCUGUGCAAGGACUGCAAGGUGGCUGACGGAAAGUCCGUGACAGGGACCGAUGUGGACAUCGUCUUCUCCAAAGUCAAGUGAGCCCUAAGCAGCCCCUGCUUCUCAUGUUCCCAGGAGGUGGGGAACUGGGGGGCUGGAACCAGGGAGGACAUCAAGAAGGGGUCAGGGAAACACCAUGAUCACGAAGGUCGUUCUUCCAGGGCAAACCUUAUAUCUAUUGCCCUCCAGAGUUGCUGACCCCUGCGACUUCCCCAAACGUGGGAAAGAAACGCAAUUGCAUAAUUUGUGGUGGCAGCAAAUGUGUUUGAGCUUUCCCCUGGGGGAGAAAAAAGAAAGGGGAACCCUCAUGGUGCCCACAUGCCUGUCAGGGGGAAGUCUGCUCGGGUCAUCAACUAUGAGGAGUUCAAGAAGGCCCUGGAAGAGCUGGCGACCAAGAGAUUCAAGGGGAAGAGCAAGGAGGAGGCCUUCGAUGCCAUCUGCCAGCUGGUGGCAGGCAAAGAGCCAGCCAAUGUGGGCGUCACU